AACGCGAAGAACCUUACCCAGGCUUGAACUGCAGAGGACACUCUACGAAAGUAGACUUCCGCAAGGACCUCUGUAGAGGUGCUGCAUGGCUGUCGUCAGCUCGUGUCGUGAGAUGUUGGGUUAAGUCCCGCAACGAGCGCAACCCUUGUCUUCUGUUGCCAUCGGGUCAAGCCGGGCACUCUGAAGAGACUGCCGGUGACAAACCGGAGGAAGGUGGGGAUGACGUCAAGUCAGCAUGGCCUUUAUGUCUGGGGCCACACACGUGCUACAAUGGCCGGUACAAACCGUCGCGAGCCCGCAAGGGGGAGCUAAUCGGAGAAAGCCGGUCUCAGUUCGGAUUGUAGGCUGCAACUCGCCUGCAUGAAGUUGGAAUCGCUAGUAAUCGCGGAUCAGCACGCCGCGGUGAAUACGUUCCCGGGCCUUGUACACACCG
rnacentral:rRNA from 1 species